rnacentral:ncRNA from 1 species
ACUCUCUGGAGAAGCUCAAUUAAGAGGGCCGAAGGUGUAAGGUCACAUGACUGAUCUCUCAGGCAAAAGGACAGAGUGCU